AGUCUUAUAGUCUAAGAAGGACUACAGGUUGCAAACUUGUAAGUGGAUUUUUCCUAAGGCUU
rnacentral:tRNA from 1 species